rnacentral:rRNA from 1 species
CACCAAGAUGGCGAAGGCAGCUAACUGGACAUAUACUGACACUGAGAGACGAAAGCGUGGGGAGCAAACAGGAUUAGAUACCCUGGUAGUCCACGCCCUAACGAUGAUCAUUAGCUGAUGGGGAACUCAUCGGCGCAGCUAACGCAUUAAAUGAUCCGCCUGAGUAUUACGUUCGCAAGAAU